AGUGAACGCUGGCGGUAGGCCUAACACAUGCAAGUCGAACGGCAGCACAGGAGAGCUUGCUCUCUAGGUGGCGAGUGGCGGACGGGUGAGGAAUACAUCGGAAUCUGCCCAGUCGUGGGGGAUAACGUAGGGAAAUUUACGCUAAUACCGCAUACGACCUUCGGGUGAAAGAGGGGGAUCGCAAGACCUCUCGCGAUUGGAUGAGCCGAUGUCGGAUUAGCUAGUUAGCGGGGUAAUGGCCCACCAAGGCGACGAUCCGUAGCUGGUCUGAGAGGAUGAUCAGCCACACUGGAACUGAGACACGGUCCAGACUCCUACGGGAGGCAGCAGUGGGGAAUAUUGGACAAUGGGCGCAAGCCUGAUCCAGCCAUACCGCGUGGGUGAAGAAGGCCUUCGGGUUGUAAAGCCCUUUUGUUGGGAAAGAAAUCUUUCAGGCUAAUACCCUGGGAGGAUGACGGUACCCAAAGAAUAAGCACCGGCUAACUUCGUG
rnacentral:rRNA from 1 species